rnacentral:snoRNA from 1 species
CCAAAAGAGAACCCCGGGCUCUGUCCAGGUGGCACAGGGGAGCAUAGGACUCUUGCCCCGUGAUGUACAGUCCCUUUCCACAACAUUGGAGAAGAAGCUGGGCCUUGUGUCUGCGCCUGCAUAU